rnacentral:rRNA from 1 species
AACGAACGCUGGCGGCAGGCUUAACACAUGCAAGUCGAGCGCCCCGCAAGGGGAGCGGCAGACGGGUGAGUAACACGUGGGAAUCUACCCAUCCCUGCGGAACAACUCCGGGAAACUGGAGCUAAUACCGCAUACGCCCUUCGGGGGAAAGAUUUAUCGGGGAUGGAUGAGCCCGCGUUGGAUUAGCUAGUUGGUGGGGUAAAGGCCUACCAAGGCGACGAUCCAUAGCUGGUCUGAGAGGAUGAUCAGCCACAUUGGGACUGAGACACGGCCGAAACUCCUACGAGAGGCAGCAGUGGGGAAUAUUGGACAAUGGGGGCGAGCCUGAUCCAGCCAUGCCGCGUGAGUGAUGAAGGCCUUAGGGUUGUAAAGCUCUUUCACCGAUGAAGAUAAUGACGGUAGUCGGAGAAGAAGCCCCGGCUAACUUCGUGCCAGCCGCCGCCGUAA